rnacentral:lncRNA from 1 species
UAGAUAUGGAAAUAGCAAAGUCAUUGUUGAGUCAGAUGUUGCAGAGAUUGCUGUUCUUGACUAUGGUUUUGGAUCCAAAUUAUCGAAGUUUGACAUGUUUAUCUGAACAGCCAGUUGUCAAAAGAUGAAGUAGAAAUAUUUUCUUAAAGCUGUGACAGUUUAAUAUCAGUUCAACUGAUUCAGUUGGGGAACUUGUGGAGGUGAAUUUCAAAAUAGCGAUGCCACAGAGAUGAUGCCAUGUGGACCUUGUGGCUUUCACCUUUGUGGGCAAGCUGGUCGUGCUGUGUGUUCAAACAUGAAGAUGAAGCCGAUUUCGAGGGAAUCUUUCAACGUGCUAGCCAGUAAAGAUUUGUGUUGGAUAUGUUCCUGUUUCUUCAGAAGCCAAGGCUUCCUAGUGGCCACGUUGCAUUUUGAGGUAUAUACUUUGAUGAUUGGAAUUUACCCUCUUCGAUAGCCAAGGUUCAAAUAACUCAAACAAGCUGCAUUGCUGACCUUUUUGUCUCUGGUAGAAGAACACGAAUGUUGGCUUUGUUUUUU